rnacentral:rRNA from 1 species
GACGUAGGGCGCGAGCGUUGUCCGGAUUUAUUGGGCGUAAAGAGCUCGUAGGCGGCUUGUUGCGUCGACUGUGAAAACCCGCGGCUUAACUACGGGCUUGCAGUUGAUACGGGCAGGCUAGAGUUCGGUAGGGGAGACUGGAAUUCCUGGUGUAGCGGUGAAAUGCGCAGAUAUCAGGAGGAACACCGGUGGCGAAGGCGGGUCUCUGGGCCGAUACUGACGCUGAGGAGCGAAAGCGUGGGGAGCGAACAGG